GAGAGAUGGUCGAGCGGUUGAAGGCACCGGUCUUGAAAACCGGCGUAGGGCAACCUACCGUGGGUUCGAAUCCCACUCUCUCC
rnacentral:tRNA from 1 species